AUGCCCUUCCGCCCCACCUUCCCCCGCCGCUGCCUCGACGACCGCAAGCUCUCCUCCUUCCUCUCCGCGCUCGCCUCCUUCUCCGCCAACCCCUCCCCGUCGCCGCCCGCAGGAUCGGUUCCCGCAGCCCGCACCCCCGCCGCCUACAAUGCUCUCAUGUCCGCCUACUCCCGCGCCGGCCGCCCAGACGAGGUGCUCCGCCUCUUCCGCUCCCUCCCCUUCCCCCCCACCGCGCCCCUCUUCACCACCCUCAUAUCCUCCCUCGCCGUCUCCGGCCGCCCCCGCGCCGCGCGCGCUGCCUUCUCCUCUCUGCUCGUCUCCGGCCUCACGCCCACCGCUUCUGCCUUCACCGCACUGCUCAAGUGCCAUGAUGGCUCGCUCGACUCUAUGCACCACAUUUUCCUUGCGAUGACCUCCGCCAGCUGUUCACCUGAUGCCGCCGUGUACAACUGCUACAUUUCCAUGCUCUGCGACUCCGGGCGGCUGGAGGAGGCCUGGGGUAUCCUUGACCACAUGAUGGAUGGGGGAGUCCGCCCCACUGUCCGCUCCUACACCGCGAUUCUACGUGGAUACUGCGAGCAGGGUAAGAUUCUGGAAGCAGAGAGGUUAUUCGAUGCCAUGGUCGAUGCCGGCUGCUCCCCGGAUGUCGUAUCCUACAGCGUGCUUAUUGAGGGGCUUUGCGGCAUCAGGGAGUUUCAUAAGGUGGAGAGGAUAUUAGAAAGAAGUGAAGAGAAGGGGUGGACGCCCAAUGCUGUCACCUACAAUAUUUACAUGUCUGCUCUGUGCAGGAUGGGGUUCUUGGAUGAGGCAUGCCAUCAAGUAGAUAAAAUGCGCACCAGAGGGCUCUCGCCAACGGUUGAGACAUUGAGUAUUCUAUUUGAUUGCUUGUGCCGAGACUCAAAGUUUUCGGAGGCAGUCUGCUUGCUGGAACACAGUGAAGAAUUAGGCUGGCAUGCUGAUGUGUUCUGCUAUAACACUUUGAUGGGUAGGCUCUGCGAUGCCGGUGAUUUUGCAAGAGUCUUCAAGCUGCUGGUUGAUCUGUUGAAAAAGGGCAUUGGGCCAGAUAUGUUUAGUUUUACAAUUGCAAUACGUGGCCUCUGUGGAGUUGGGAAAUUCCGUCUGGCAAAGUGUCUAAUAGAUAAUGAGUGGAUUGGAUAUGAUGUUGUGGCUUUCAAUACUUUGAUUCAUGGAUUCUACAAUGCUGGGGAUUUACGUGGAGUCAAGCUAACUUACAUCAAUAUGUGCAGUAGGCAAAUUUCUCCAAACAACUUUACUAAUGCUACAUUGAUUGAUAGCUUAUGUAAAGAUCGAAAAUUUGUCGAGGCAAUAAACUCUCUUGCAUCUUUGAGAGAUGGGUCGGUGCCUGAUCAUGUUGUUCACCUGAACAAUCGGUUGGUCAAAGGAGUAAGAUAUACAAAGGUGCUCAACCUACUUGAUGAAAUACGCUGCAGAGGAUUUGAGCUAGAUACUUGCAUCUUCAUCCCAUUAGUUAGGGUAUUAUGCUGGGAAGGCUACUACAAGCGUGAGAAUAUCAAUGAAGUUUCCCUUAUACUGACCAGUCUAGGAAUUAGAUGA
rnacentral:rRNA from 1 species